GUUUUAAAGAGAACGUCACCUCCGUUUUGACGUGACGUCACUUUUAAAAAUUUUAAAAAGUCAUUUUGUCCGGGAUUUUUCUCAAAAACGCUUUAAGAUAGAGGCUUGAAAUUUUCAAUGGUUAUGAUUUGGUCGAUUUACCUCUGUAAUAAGGCUCGAAAUGAAAAUCUGUCACUUCUGGUCGAAACCGGAAGUGAAACAAAUUUUUCGAAAAAAUGAAUUUUCUGAUCAAAUCAAAAAUGAAUAUGUGUUUUGUAGAGCUUAUCAAACUGAAUCUAACACUGAAAGCCGUUUUAAAAUCGGACGAUGCAUUACAGAGUAAUCGGGGUUUAAAAAUUGAUUUUUCCGGAAAUUUUGAUUCCGCGUCCUUGGUUUAAAAAAUAGCGUUAUGUUCAAAGUAAAAUUAACUCGUACCAAAAGUCUGUUACCAAAAUUAAAUCGAUAAAUGCAUGCUGAUCAUAAAAUAGUUAAUCAGCGUGUUCAUUGAAACGAUGUCGUUAAUUUGAUUGAUUAUUAUACGUCGAGUGUGCUGGCUUGGAAAAUAGUGACAAUUUUUUUUUACCAGAAACAUAUAAUAAAAACGAAGCAGCAAAACAGCAAAACAGUGAAAAGGAAUUGAAAGCCAUUAGUCAAGAAAGACGUUGCUGACAGUUAAUGAAAGCGUAAGUUGAUAUAUAAGCCUUAACCUAAUCGUCACAGACAGUUGUUGAAUAGUCGAACAACACGUAUCCUGACAUUGGAUCAUUGAAUGAAGAGUUUGAAAUAUUUCAAUAUACCUAGGCCGAUUUAUUAUAAUUAUUUACUUGCAAAAUAAAUGCAUAAAUGCUUGUUAUACAUGUUGAAUUGUACUUUGUAUAUCAAACACCGAAAUGAGUAUCGUACGAUUCGUCACGUCAACGCGCCUUGUUUUGAUUGCGAACAGCUGACAGCGAAGUGUCGACAUUUUCAUAUGAUGCAUGGCUUGCAAAACUUCGAUAGUGGAAAAUGCAUCUCAACUAUCGUUUGGGAGAUUAUUAAGCCUAAAACAGACUCUUGUUACAACAUGGCGGACACAUGGCUUUUACCUGUUGAUUCUUGUGGUUUCAGCUCUUGAGGUUAACCUCUCACCCCUACCCACAUGCAUAUUCCUUGUGUUCAACAGACUUUUUACCAGUACAUGUAAUUCAUAUUAAAUCGGAUAAUGCAUGAACAAAAAUGAAACUUUAAGAAAGCAUCAUGCCUUGUUAGGUUUUUGUUGAUAAGAAAUUUAUUAAUGACAAACAAAGUUAAAGCUGUUAAAGGACAUUUACAUUUUUUACAGUAGUUGUGAAGUUUUGUUUUUCAAUAAAAGUCUGCAAUCAUG